rnacentral:rRNA from 1 species
AGAUUGAACGCUGGCGGCAGGCCUAACACAUGCAAGUCGAGCGGUAGAGAGGUGCUUGCAUCUCUUGAGAGCGGCGGACGGGUGAGUAAUGCCUAGGAAUCUGCCUAGUGGUGGGGGAUAACGUUCGGAAACGGACGCUAAUACCGCAUACGUCCUACGGGAGAAAGCGGGGGACCUUCGGGCCUCGCGCCAUUAGAUGAGCCUAGGUCGGAUUAGCUAGUUGGUGAGGUAAUGGCUCACCAAGGCGACGAUCCGUAACUGGUCUGAGAGGAUGAUCAGUCACACUGGAACUGAGACACGGUCCAGACUCCUACGGGAGCAGCAGUGGGGAAUAUUGGACAAUGGGCGAAAGCCUGAUCCAGCCA